rnacentral:rRNA from 1 species
UACGUAGGGUGCGAGCGUUGUCCGGAAUUACUGGGCGUAAAGAGCUCGUAGGUGGUUUGUCGCGUUGUUCGUGAAAACUCACAGCUCAACUGUGGGCGUGCGGGCGAUACGGGCAGACUUGAGUACUGCAGGGGAGACUGGAAUUCCUGGUGUAGCGGUGGAAUGCGCAGAUAUCAGGAGGAAUACCGGUGGCGAAGGCGGGUCUCUGGGCAGUAACUGACGCUGAGGAGCGAAAGCGUGGGGAGCGAACAGG